rnacentral:tRNA from 1 species
GUUUAUGUAGCUUAAUAAUAAAGCAAGGCACUGAAAAUGCCUAGACGAGUUGUAUGACCCCAUAAACA